AGGGUGUAAACGCUGCAGACUUGGUGUUGGGAACCCUUCGGGGUGCUCAGUGCCGGAGAGAAGUUGUUAAGUCUGCUACUUGGGGAGUACGUCCGCAAGGAUGAAACUUAAGGAAUUGGCGGGGAGCACCGCAACGGGAGGAGCGUGCGGUUUAAUUGGAUUCAACGCCGAAAAACUCACCAGCAGCGACUGUUACAUGAAAGUCAGGUUGAUGACCUUACUAGAUUUUCAGAGAGGAGGUGCAUGGCGUCAGUGACU
rnacentral:rRNA from 1 species